rnacentral:rRNA from 1 species
GCAUAUCAAUAAGCGGAGGAAAAGAAAAUAACAAUGAUUCCCCUAGUAAUUGCGAAUGAAGAGGGACAAGCUCAAAUUUUAAAUCUAUCGGGUUUUACCUGAUCGAGUUGUAAUUUGAAGAAGCGUUUUCCGCGUAUUUGGUCAACCCAAGUCCUAUUGAAUGAGGCAUCAUGGAGGGUGAUAAUCCCGUCCGGUUGAUCAUUUGCGUUUUACGAUACGCUUUCUAAGAGUCAAGUUGUUUGGGAUUGCAGCUUAAAAUGGGAGGUAAAUUUCUCCUAAGGCUAAAUAACGGCGAGAGACCGAUAGCGAACAAGUACCGUGAGGGAAAGAUGAAAAGAACUUUGAAAAGAGAGUUAAACAGUACGUGAAAUUGUUGAAAGGGAAACGAUUGAAGCCAGUCGUACCUUCGGGUAAUCAGCCUUUCGGGUGCGAUUCUGUGGAGUGUGAGGAGUUAAACACCUUCAUGUUUUGCAUAUUCGUACUCUUGGGUGUACUUGCCCGUGUGGUUGGUUAACAUCAAUUUUGGUGGUCAUAAAAUGACUGGAGGAAUGUAGCUUCGAUCUCGUAUUGAAGUGUUACAGCCUUCGGUAGAUGUGAUGAUCGAGAUUGAGGAUUGCAACGGAUACCCUUCGGGGCUACCUGUCCGAUCUCUGAUCGUUGCUCUGGUGCCGAAAGCUUGCUUACGGUUAUCAAAGUCGAUGGUCAAUAGGUUAGAACGGGUUAAAUUCGUUAAGGAUGUUGACGUAAUGGCUUUAAACGAC